rnacentral:rRNA from 1 species
GAUGAACGCUGGCGGCGUGCCUAAUACAUGCAAGUCGAGCGAACGGACGAGAAGCUUGCCUCUCUGAUGCUAGCGGCGGACGGGUGAGUAACACGUGGAUAACCUACCUAUAAGACUGGGGUAACUUCGGGAAACCGUAUCUAAUACCGGAUAAUAUUUUGAACCGCAUGGUUCAAAAGAGAAAGACGGUCUUGCUGUCACUUAUAGAUGGAUCCGCGCUGCAUUAGCUAGUUGGUAAGGUAACGGCUUACCAAGGCGACGAUCCAUAGCCGACCUGAGAGGGUGAUCAGCCACACUGGAACUGAGACACGGUCCAGACUCCUACGGGAGGCAGCAGUAGGGAAUCUUCCGCAAUGGGCGAAAGCCUGACGGAGCCACGCCGCGUGAGUGAUGAAGGUCUUCGGAUCGUAAAACUCUGUUAGUAGGGAAGAAGAUAUGUGUAAGUAACUGUGCACAUCUUGACGGUACCUAAUCAGAAAGCCACGGCUAACUACGUG